rnacentral:rRNA from 1 species
CCACCACCAAAGCAUUCUCUGGUGUUGAAGGCCCUGCAAAGCAGCAUCGCGGUGGCGGAGCGUCGUUUGCGACGCCCAACACACAAAACAAGCGGUGAGUGCUUUGGGGUGGGGUGACUGCGUACCUUUUGUAUAAUGGGUCAGCGACUUAUAUUCUGUAGCAAGGUUAACCGUAUAGGGGAGCCGAAGGGAAACCGAGUCUUAACUGGGCGUUAAGUUGCAGGGUAUAGACCCGAAACCCGGUGAUCUAGCCAUGGGCAGGUUGAAGGUUGGGUAACACUAACUGGAGGACCGAACCGACUAAUGUUGAAAAAUUAGCGGAUGACUUGUGGCUGGGGGUGAAAGGCCAAUCAAACCGGGAGAUAGCUGGUUCUCCCCGAAAGCUAUUUAGGUAGCGCCUCGUGAACUCAUCUUCGGGGGUAGAGCACUGUUUCGGCUAGGGGGUCAUCCCGACUUACCAACCCGAUGCAAACUGCGAAUACCGAAGAAUGUUAUCACGAGAGACACACGGCGGGUGCUAACGUCCGUCGUGAAGAGGGAAACAACCCAGACCGCCAGCUAAGGUCCCAAAGUCACAGUUAAGUGGGAAACGAUGUGGGAAGGCUCAGACAGCCAGGAUGUUGGCUUAGAAGCAGCCAUCAUUUAAAGAAAGCGUAAUAGCUCACUGGUCGAGUCGGCCUGCGCGGAAGAUGUAACGGGGCUAAACUGUGCACCGAAGCUGCGGCAGCGACGCUUAUGCGUUGUUGGGUAGGGGAGCGUUCUGUAAGCCUGCGAAGGUGUCCUGUGAGGGAUGCUGGAGGUAUCAGAAGUGCGAAUGCUGACAUAAGUAACGAUAA